AGAUUAAGCCAUGCAUGUCUAAGUAUAAGCAAUCUAUACCGUGAAACUGCGAAUGGCUC
rnacentral:rRNA from 1 species